UCCCUAUCUGCCGUGGGCGCUGGAGAAUUGAGGGGGGCUGCUCCUAGUACGAGAGGACCGGAGUGGACGCAUCACUGGUGUUCGGGUUGUCAUGCCAAUGGCACUGCCCGGUAGCUAAAUGCGGAAGAGAUAAGUGCUGAAAGCAUCUAAGCACGAAACUUGCCCCGAGAUGAGUUCUCCCUGACUCCUUGAGAGUCCUGAAGGAACGUUGAAGACGACGACGUUGAUAGGCCGGGUGUGUAAGCGCAGCGAUGCGUUGAGCUAACCGGUACUAAUGAACCGUGAGGCUUAACCUUACAACGCCGAAG
rnacentral:rRNA from 1 species